rnacentral:rRNA from 1 species
AUUGAACGCUAGCGGGAUGCUUUACACAUGCAAGUCGAACGGCAGCGCGGACUUCGGUCUGGAGGCGAGUGGCGAACGGGUGAGUAAUGUAUCGGAACGUGCCCAGUAGCGGGGGAUAACUACGCGAAAGCGUAGCUAAUACCGCAUACGCCCUACGGGGGAAAGCAGGGGAUCGUAAGACCUUGCACUAUUGGAGCGGCCGAUAUCGGAUUAGCUAGUUGGUGAGGUAACGGCUCACCAAGGCGACGACCCUUAGCUGGUUUGAGAGGACGACCAGCCACACUGGGACUGAGACACGGCCCAGACUCCUACGGGAGGCAGCAGUGGGGAAUUUUGGACAAUGGGGGCAACCCUGAUCCAGCCAUCCCGCGUGUGCGAUGAAGGCCUUCGGGUUGUAAAGCACUUUUGGCAGGAAAGAAACGUCGCGGGCUAAUACCCCGUGGAACUGACGGUACCUGCAGAAUAAGCACCGGCUAACUACGUG